GUACUUACUUGGCAGGGGAGAUAAGGUGAUCACAAAGGUGGUUUCCCCAGGGCAAGGUUUAUCCAUUGCACUCUGGAUGUGCUGACCCUUGCGAUUUCCCCAAAUUUGGGAAGCUCGACUGAAUAAUUUGUGGUAGUGGACGGCUUCAUUCGUGCUGUCCCCAG